CGGGGCAUAGUGUAACGGUAGCACGAGUCCUUUGGGAGGACUUAGUUCCAGUUCAAAUCUGGAUGCCCCGA
rnacentral:tRNA from 1 species